AAAUUGAAGAGUUUGAUCAUGGCUCAGAUUGAACGCUGGCGGCAGGCCUAACACAUGCAAGUCGAGCGGAAACGACACUAACAAUCCUUCGGGUGCGUUAAUAGGCGUCGAGCGGCGGACGGGUGAGUAAUGCCUAGGAAAUUGCCUUGAUGUGGGGGAUAACCAUUGGAAACGAUGGCUAAUACCGCAUAAUGCCUACGGGCCAAAGAGGGGGACCUUCGGGCCUCUCGCGUC
rnacentral:rRNA from 1 species